rnacentral:rRNA from 1 species
UACGUAGGGCGCAAGCGUUGUCCGGAUUUAUUGGGCGUAAAGAGCUCGUAGGCGGUCUGUCGCGUCGGCUGUGAAAACCCGAGGCUCAACCUCGGGCCUGCAGUCGAUACGGGCAGACUAGAGUGUGGUAGGGGAGACUGGAAUUCCUGGUGUAGCGGUGAAAUGCGCAGAUAUCAGGAGGAACACCGGUGGCGAAGGCGGGUCUCUAGGCCAUUACUGACGCUGAGGAGCGAAAGCGUGGGGAGCGAACAGG